rnacentral:lncRNA from 1 species
CCAGGCCCAAACAUCUCCAACCUCAUGUCUUUCGAAUUUCACAGCCAGUACCAAGGUUUGGGUGCGGCAAAGCUCCCUAAGGGUUCGUUUGAACCCAUGGCAAAUACCAGGCACCCAAAAUAUGUCCCAAGUGGACAGUUUCAAACAUUGGAAGCUAGCCUUGGGCAUCAGAGUUCCAUGGGUGCUCGAGGCUCCCAUGGCAGUGCUUAC